rnacentral:rRNA from 1 species
AUGAAGCUGGAAUCGCUGUAAUCGCAGGUCAGCAUACUGCGGUGAAUACGUUCCCGGGUCUUGUACACACUGCCCGUCACACCAUGGGAGCCGGAAAUGCCCGAAGCCAGUGACCCAACCUUAGGGAGGGAGCUGUCGAAGGUGGAGCCGGUAACUGGGGUGAAGUCGUAACAAGGUAAC